rnacentral:lncRNA from 1 species
CGAGGAGUAAGGAUGUGGAAUGAGUAAACUCCCUGGGAGGUGGGGGGUGGGGAGGGGAUGGGGCCUCCCUGGAGCCUCGGGCCAUUAGUAAUCUGCUUUGUGAAUGGAGUUAAAGGAGGAGGGGGCUGCACAUACUUGGAAUUCCUUCAUCUGGGUGGGCUCCUUCUCUCCAAACUUUCAGGAUGUGGGAAAUAUAAGAUGAAAGAAGCUGCAUUUCCAGCCUAUCAGGUUACAGCGUGGAAAAUGGAGAGGGAAAGAAGUAGGGGGUGGAGAGUGGGGCGGGAGAAGGCCUCCCCGAGAGGGGCCAGGGAAACCCAGUUUGAGAACUGGCUGGGGAGAGUGAGAAAGAAAGAGUGCUGGGGCGGUCAGAUCACGUUUCACAUCACAUCAGAGCUGUGGAAUUUCCUCUCUUCUAGGGGGAGCCCUGUGAAGAUGAAGUUGGUUUAAGGCACUCAAUGUUCUAUGCGUCCACUGGUCAAGAUCCUUUAGCGAUGUUACAGCACCAAGAGUUCAGCUUGGGAUUCAGUGUUCUCCACUGUCUGGCCCCUGCAUCUCACUGUUCCACAGGAUGACCUUCUGUGCCAGUUGCAGCUGCCUCCCAAUUGGUGCAGGUAUUUUUCACACAGCUUCCUAUCAUAUAGUCAAAGAAUCACAGUAGUAACCAUGGUACUACUCAUUGCCUGUCUGUGGCCCUCCGCUAAGGACUUUAUUGUGUUAUUUUAUGUAAUCUUCACAUCUCAUUAUGGUAGGUGUCAUCUUCCUCAUUUUGUAGAUGAAGACACCAAGGUUCAGAAAGUUCAAAUAACUUGCCUAAAUCCUACAGCUGGAAUAAGGCUGAGUAGAACUCGGCCCCCUGGUCAAGCCCAGAGUCAUCCUACUAUUCCCCUUCCACUCCACUGAGAUGAUAGGAAGGAAAGAGCAGAGGUUAGGGGUUAGUGAUUUUCUCCCUUCAUUCUUGCUGCUCCCACACCUGAAAUAUUCACUUUUUUUUCCUUUUUUUUUUUUUUUUUUUGAGGCGGAAUCUCGCUCUGUUGCCCAGGCUGGAGUGCAGUGGUGCGAUCUUGGCUCACCACAACCUCCGCCUCUCGGGUACAAGCAAUCCUGCCU